rnacentral:pre_miRNA from 3 species
UCUUAUGAAUGAGAGAAGAAAGUGGUUUCUUGAGAUGGAAUCUACUCCUGGUGAAGAUGCUAUGAA